GCAGUCGCGACCGAGUGGCUAAGGCAAUGGACUAGAAAUCCAUUGGGGUCUCCCCGCACAAUUUCGAAUCCUGUCAACUGCG
rfam:Ixodes scapularis strain Wikel colony gcontig_1108378760210, whole genome shotgun sequence.